UCAAACUUGAAAAAUAUCCGCAUUUCUGGCGAAUAAUAGAUCCACUGUGGCUGGCUCAUAAAUAUUGUCAUAUCGAACAUAUUAGCAAUGAGAUGCUUACAAAUGUAGAACAUGUCUCGAACCUUUCCAUAGUUCAUAGCAAUGUCCAUUCAAUUUCCGAGCUGGCAUUUAAUGGCGUCAAAAAUCUAAACGUUUUGGACCUUUCGUGUAAUUUAGAAUUAGGAUUUGGCAACGCGUCAAGGGGUUUUGGUCACCUAAAUAGCGGCCUAAAAAUGCUCGCAUUAAACAAUAUUGAAAGACGAUAUUAUGUAAUUAUAAAUGAAAGUUUCGCAAGGAGCCUGCACAAUACAUCUCUUACUCAUCUAUACAUAGAAAGCAACAAUAUUUUCAGGUUUGAUGAGAACGCUUUUAUCAAUUUACCAAUUAGUUUAAAGAAGUUGUAUGCUCGCAACAAUAGAUUUGAUCUUGAUUAUUACCUUACGCGAAUGAAAGACUUAACUAAUUUGGAAUUAUUAGACCUCUCAUUAAACAAACUUACGUUUUUCAACAAUGACACAAACCAUGAAUUUUGUUCAUCGGGUUUAACUGAAAUACCAAGGAAAGGAAACAGUCGACUUUUCACGAACGAAAUCAAAAAUGCAGCUUUCCGCAUAUCAGGCUGCAUUAAUCAAGUUCAGAUCGAGAUACCCGCUGCUUUGCCACCUAAACUUGAAACACAUGAUGUUCAUUCUAGUAACAUGGGCUUAGCAGUAUACGGAUACAUGUCUGAAAAUAAUUCAUUAUAACUGUUUAUGCCUCAAACUCUUUAUUGAACAGUUGGCCGAAUCCUUUUCCCUAUAUCCCUUAAACAUCUUGAAUUGAGUUCCAAUCUUUGUUCCGAUGUUCAUCUAGAUAUACUUAAAGGCCUUCCUUCUCUUGAGUUGCUAGACCUGUCUGGAAAUUAUCUUAGCUUUGCCAUGACAAAUUAUGGUGAUUUAUUUGAAAACAAUAUGCAGCUAAAACAUCUCGAUAUAUGAAGAAAUGAACUUAAGGCAUUAAAUAAUACUCUUUUUAAAAAUUCGAUCAAUAUGACGUUCUUGAACCUGUCACAAAACAAACUUAAAUCGUUCACCAUUUAUGCAGAGAACUUAACAAAACUUGAAGUGAUAAAUCUUUCACAAAAUUGCUUUUUGACUUUAACGGAUUUUAAACAGAUUUUACACGUUAUUAAAAACCAUGUUGAAAACAGAAACGAAACUGUUGUUGAUCUGAGAAACAAUAAUUUUCUAUGUUCAUGUAACGCUGAUGACGUGGCAUUAAUGAAAAGCCUUGCUGAAGACGUCCGAAGUCAGCGGUAUUUACUACAGUUCACAUGCAAUGAAAAAGAAGUAAACAAUGAAACAAGUUUUGAAUCAUUCAAAAACAAUUUUGAUAACAAGUGUAGAAUCCAAGGCUAUACAUCUCUGAUUGUAGUCGGUGUGAUAAUGACCGUGAGUAGUUUGUUAACCAUAACUGUCGCUAGGUUGGUGUAUAAAUUGCAAUUGAAAAUAAAAUACUGGUUUUACGUUCGAAAUAGCAAACGGCGUAUGCGAAAUGGAUAUACCGUCAUUCAAAAUUAAAAUGAUUGGUCGGUAUAAAUAUCACGUAUAUUUGGCGUAUUCUUACGAGGGACAGGAAUUCAUCGCGGACAAUGUCUUACCCAAACUGAGUGAACUCGGGUACAAAGUGUUCAGUCAAGAAGACAUUAUUCCUGGUUUAAACCUUUGUAGUGUUAUUAGAAAAUCUAUCCACGUAAGCAGAUAUGUUUUGUUUGUUGUAAGUUCAGGUUGCGAGGACUCUAAUGAAUGGUGUAUUGUGGUCCAUAUGGCAAACGAAGAAGCAAUCCAGAGAAGGAAACACAUCACGUUGGUACUAUUAUAUGAUUAUAACUGUGUGGAUGGGAUACCGGGUGCAGACAAGUUAAUACACCAAGACUAUUUCAUGGAAUUUCCUCGUCAUGGCAGUGACCAUGAGGUAACCGCGUUCUGGACUGACUUUGAACAUAAACUGAUUUCUAUUGAUAACUCUGCGAUAGAAACAUCAAUGACUUUUCUAGCAACGAAUACUGAACGCUCCUAAAGCAAUUGUCUUCAUGUGAUUAUAUUACAAAUAUAAGACAUCGCUUGGAAUUUACAAUACGUGUAAACAUUUGCGACGCUGUUAUCAUAUAGUGUCUAUACAUGUUAGGGCCAAAAGCGUGUGAAAUACUUCAUUGGUGUAUAAUGCGUGACACGUGUAAUGAGAUCACCCCUUAUAUAUUGGUCGACCAAUAGCCGAAGAGGACCAAUAACCUUAAACUUGUUAAAUUAAUUAAAAUUCGAUCGAUCGUGGAUAAAAUGUGUUGCAGAAAACAUAUAAUAAAAUAUAUUAAUAUUUCCAGUUGUAUGUAUAUAUAAAUAUAUAUACUCGUAUAUACAUUUAAUAUUUACAUUUACCUGAUCUUCAACGAUUGUAUAUUCGUGUACAUUAUUGAUUACUUGUGUGUGCUUAAUAUUGUUUGUUGCCUAAAACUGUAUAUAUUUUUAAUAAACGUCCCUAACACUA